rnacentral:rRNA from 2 species
AACGUAGGAGGCGAGCGUUAUCCGGAUUCACUGGGCGUAAAGCGCGUGCAGGUGGCUUGGUAAGUUAGGCGUGAAAUCUCCCGGCUCAACUGGGAGAGGUCGUCUAAUACUACCGGGCUUGAGAGCAGAAGAGGAAGAUGGAAUUCCCGGUGUAGUGGUGAAAUGCGUAGAUAUCGGGAGGAACACCAGUGGCGAAGGCGAUCUUCUGGUCUGUUUCUGACACUCAGACGCGACAGCUAGGGUAGUAAACGGG